GUCAACAACUUUGGUUGGCCCUUUGGUUGGCCCUCACGGCCCUUCACUUUAUCAAAUCUGGCCCUCUUUGAAAAAAGUUUGGACACGAUUCUAGGAGAAGGAAAACUCUGAUCCUAAACCUCCACUGCCUUGCGGGAUAUGUUCAGGAGAAGAAAAGACUAUGGAGUGAGCCCUACACAAAUCCAAAGUGGAGUCCCUAAGAUAAUAAGAGAUGGGUCAGUACGGUGAAGCCGAGCAACCUGCUUCAGGAGGUAUCAUAAAGCAACAGGACCAGUGCAAGACAUCUACCUGUCUCAAGUGAAGGACAAGAUGGUUUUCUUCAUUCCAUGUACUAAAGCUGACUGGACUGGCAACUGUCAACACUGGAAACAUGGCAGCACCUUCUACUACAUCUGAGGACAGCAAACUGGCUGCUGGGGCAGUCUGUGUGGUCUACCCAGUCUUUUGGUAACAGAAAUGGCAACAUGUUUAAAUUAAAUACACAGCUUUUCAUCCCCUAAGAAGUCUGACCUGCAGUGAACAGGGGCUGGCAGAGGCAAACUUCUUGGUUGAAAAGCACUCCCAUCCGUAUGCAUAAUGAUGAGAGUAACCCAGUACCUCACUUGACUGAUUAACAAUUUAAAUUCUCAAUUUUAGAGGUUCAAAUUAGUGUUAAAUCUCCUUUAGAAGCUCUAAUGAAUUUAAUUAAACUAAUUAAAUUAAGAUUUUUCAGCAUCUUUUACAACUUUAUGUUUUAGGGACAAUUAGUCCAAUACAGUCCUGAAGCGGUACAUUUUCUAAGAAUGAUCUUUGUAUAAAUUAAACAAUUAAAUAUACCGGAUUUAUAUCUCACCUUCUGUUUUCUCGUUGCAGUUUCCAACUCAACUCGAGUACAAUUAAAGUGACAAAGAAAAAAGGUCCCCUUUACAAAGCCCAUAAUGAGAGAGACUCCGAAAAACUCAACACAUCCUGAAGCAGAGAUGACAAAAGCAUCUAUUCCAAGAAGGAAAAGCUGUCAUGAGUAAGACAGAGAGUGAGGGAAAACACACAUGGUGAGUGUGGUCCCAAGAGCUUCUCUGCUUUACUUAGGAGUGUCCUUCUGUUAAGAAGAGCAGUAACUCAGGUGCCAUGGUAAUGAAAGGAUUUUAAUCAUUGACAUCGCUAUGUGAAUUAUUAUUACAGAAACCCCUGCUGUUGAGUUAGACAAAAUUAACCCAGUGUAUGGGGCAUUAAAAAAAAAACUCAGCUAAUUAGUGAGCGAAUAAGAACAAAGAAAAUGGGAAAACAAAGAUGUGGAGAGGAAAGAUGCUUAGGAUCAUCUAACUAAUAUAGCUCGGCUUCGUUGGAGGAAACCAUUUAUCUGGAUGAAAUGACACCGUGGUCCAGGUUGCAGGUCCCAUAUGGAACGCGGAGAGCAAGUCAUAGGUUUAAAUCACUGCAUGGCUUGCAUUUUUUCUGCAGCUAGUCAUGCUGGUUUCCAAUGGGCAAUGCAUCAUGCUGCUGAUGUAAGAGCCGAAAUGAAGACAAUCAACCCUGAGAAUCCACCAGAGAAGUAUUCAUGCUGGGCGCCAUUUGUUCCUAAUUGCUCUUUGUAAGUUAUAGUUUGAGAUAAAGCUCCCAAAAUGGAAUAAACACAAAAUAAUAA